rnacentral:RNase_P_RNA from 1 species
GUUAAUUAUACGGUCGCGGGUUGCUUUACGCAACGUGAGGAAAGUCCGAGCAUCACAGGGCAGGAUGCCUGCUAACGGCAGGAGGAGGCGACUUCAAGGAAAGUGAACAGAAAUAUACCGCAGCAUUUUGCUGUAAGGUUGGAAUGGCGAGGUAAGAGCUCACCGUCGCUUUGGUAACAAGGCGAGCCAAUUAAACCCCAUCCGAUGCAAGAUUGGGAUAAGGGCUGCGUUCAAUCGCGCGGGCUGCCCGUCCGUCCUUAUCCGUUAAUAUCGCUGGAGCUUGCCGGCGACGGCAAGCGUAGAUAGAUGACCGUACACGACAGAACUCGGCUUACAGAUUAA